AGCUCCAAUAGCGUAUAUUAAAGUUGUUGCGGUUAAAAAGCUCGUAGUUGGAUCUCAGUUCAUGUUAAGUGGUCCACUUGCCGGUGGCUACUACUUAGCUGAACAUUUUACAGACCUGCCUUGCGAUGCUCUUUACCGGGUGUCGUGAGCGAUCUGUACGUUUACUUUGAAAAAAUUAGAGUGCUUAAAGCAGGCGUAACGCCCGAAUAAUCUUGCAUGGAAUAAUGGAAUAGGACCUCGGUUCUAUUUUGUUGGUCUUCGGAAUCUGAGGUAAUGAUUAAGAGGGACAGACGGGGGCAUUCGUAUUGCGGCGCUAGAGGUGAAAUUCUUGGACCGUCGCAAGACGAACUACAGCGAAAGCAUUUGCCAAGAAUGUUUUCAUUAAUCAAGAACGAAAGUA
rnacentral:rRNA from 1 species